rnacentral:snRNA from 1 species
GUGCUCAUUUCAGCAGCACAUAUACUAAAAUUGGAACAAUACAGAGAAGAUUAUCAUGGCCCCUGUGUAAGGAUAACAUUGCCUGAGAUCUGUUCUCGUCUUCU